rnacentral:rRNA from 1 species
AUACGUAGGGGGCGAGCGUUGUCCGGAAUGAUUGGGCGUAAAGGGCGCGUAGGCGGCGCGGUAAGUCUGGAGUGAAAGUCCUGCUUUCAAGGUGGGAAUUGCUUUGGAUACUGCCGCGCUUGAGUGCAGGAGAGGUUAUCGGAAUUCCCGGUGUAGCGGUGAAAUGCGUAGAGAUCGGGAGGAACACCAGUGGCGAAGGCGGGUAACUGGACUGCAACUGACGCUGAGGCGCGAAAGUGUGGGGAGCAAACAGGAUUAGAUACCCUGGUAGUCCACACUGUAAACGAUGAAUGCUAGGUGUAAGAGGUAUCGACCCCUUUUGUGCCGGAGUCAACACAAUAAGCAUUCCGCCUGGGGAGUACGGCCGCAAGGUUGAAACUCAAAUGAAGUGACGGGG